UCAACUCGGCUACGGCUAUCCCGUCCAGUACGAGAGGAACCGCGGGAUCAGAGCAACGGUUUGCGCGCUCGCUCGAUAGAGCGGUGGUGCCAGGCUGCCUCUGAGCGAUAACGGCUGAACGCCUCUAAGCCGGAACCGUAGCCGGACCCGAGUUGU
rfam:Octopus bimaculoides Scaffold43529_contig_110, whole genome shotgun sequence.